CUUAUAAAAUAUAUAUUUAUAGGUCUUCAAGUCUAUUUGGUUGUCCUUAGGGCUUUCUGUGAAGAGAGAAUGAGUUGGGCUUGAAAAUCGGCCUUAGAGCCGAUAAUGGGCUUGCCGCGGAUGAAAGCUCUCCGGGAAUGCUAAAUGAUGGUUCCACCGCAGGUGGAGGCGUGACCAAGAGCUUGUUUACCGCGGUCACGACCUCCUUGAACCAUGGUGGUUGGCCUAUGAGGUCAAAACUUCAAUCCUUCUCUUGCUUCUUUCGCGAGACUGCAUAACAUGUCUUAAGUAAAUUGGAGAUAUCUAAUUAUCUAACCGUUGGAUUGCAUCCACAAAAAAAAAACCCCACAAAAAUCCCCUAUAUCCCCUUUGGCCGGUUGUCUCCUAUAUCUUUUUUACAAAUUUGAGCUUGAUCAGACGGUAAGAAGGUCUUCAUUGGGUGUGAAACUUCUGACGGACAUAAAUUGGCCAAAAGUGGAUUUUUCUCAAAUUUGCAUUGUUUUUGUCUAAAUAACCUGAAAAUAGUCUUGAAACUAAAAAUAGGAAAAAAAAAGAAAAAAAAAACACUUAAAACUAAUUAAAACCUUUGAAAUAGCAUAAGAAAACACUAAUGAAAAUGGGUAUAAAAUACGGUGUCAUUCUUAUAAAAUUCUAUCAAAUCUCACCUAAAACCAUGAGAUUUAAAAGACUUUUUGAAAAUCAUGUUUGAAUAACAUAGGAUUUCAAGUUUAAUAUAAAUCAUUCCAAAUAUUAAACUCACUAACAACUCAAAACCUUCCAAAUCUUUCCAAUUAUUAAAUUUAGAAUACACCAGAUAUUGAAUUAAAAGAAAAAAAUAUGUACCAGUUUUCUUAAUUAAAAACUUGCUUGGGGUUAGGCUUUCAAGACUUUUAAGUAUCUAACAGUUUUCAAAGUCUUUUUUUUCCCAUACUUUUUUAUUUUUUUUAUAAAUAUAAAGUCUCAAAAACCACACUUUUAAUUUUUUGUCAUGGGUUUUAAAAGUUACGUAUGAGAAAUUUUAACAAAAAAAAUAUAAAUACAUUUUUUUCUAUCUUUCUUCUUCCUCAUAUAUUAUUAAAAAUUCUUUGUAGAUCUAUAUAUAGUUAAUUCUUAAGAAAAUUUAAUUGAUUAAUUGUUAACAACAUUCUGUUUUUUUUUUUAGAUCCAUUUCUUAAAACUUUUUUGACUAAAAUGUUUUCAGAAAUAUCUAAAACUCUUUGUUAAAUCCAGCCUUUGAAAAGAAAAAAUUACCUGCAAUUUUUAAAGUAAUAGUCAGUUUCUACAGUAAAGGUUUUUUAAAAUCAUAAGUAAAAGCCAACAAUUCUUACCAAGUAAGCCUUUAGUUUUAAAAUUAAAAAAAAAAAACUCGUACCUACAAGAACUUGUAUAAGUAUAAGAUAAUGGUUUGUACUAAGAUUGAUGCUGUAUCAUAAUAUAAAUUCAAAUUCUGAUAAGAAACUUUUACCUUGCCUGGAAAAGCCUUUGAGAGGCGCAAACUCUCCCAACAAAAAACCCUAGCCGCCAACCUUAAGACUCAUCUUUUGUCGCCUCUCUGGUUCGGCGUUCUCCGUCAUAGCCGUGAGGGGCGACUCCCCAUAAAGUAAGCAGGUGCUCUUCAGAUGUGGUAGUGGGAAGCAAAUCUGAGAUCGGACGCUCCUCUCUUCUUAGGUGUGGAGGAGUCGCCCUGGUGAGGCGGAGUGGUAGUAUGGGCAUCAGAGGUUGCUGGAUCUCACCGGAUUAGGAUCCGAUGGAGGACUGCGGAGGCGAAUCACGGAGGGACAGUAAACGGCCAGCUUUGGCUUUGAGGUUCAUCGAGCUGCUCCGCCGCGUGACGUCCGAGGACACUCACUGUUGCCAAACCGCUUCACGUUUAGGGUUUUCGACCAGUUCAACCAGUUCUUUGUUCGAUUUUAUUUUUGUAAACCAUUGUCAAAUUCCUGGUUUGGGUUGAUCAAUAAAAUAUAUUUAAAAAAAAAUUUAAUUCUGAUAGUGUGCACUAUGCGAUACGUGAAGUAUAGUUAAAAAUUAACUUACAAAAUUGUAACAUCUGGGAUAUCUAUAUCAGCAAAGAUUUUUGUCCCCACUAAAAUUUUUUUCUAGCUUCGCCACUGUUGAAGUGUAUCUGUUCUCCAUUGUUACGCUGGGACGCCAUCCCCGAUCUCCUUCUCCAUGAACAAUGUGAUCUUUGUAGUGUCCAUUCUGUCUGAUGGGUUGUUGGUUUGCUGGAACUAACCCCACACAAAGUCUGUAGCCGAGCUCAGUGACUCUCUGCCGUAGUUUUCAAUAUUGUUGACGACUAUAAAGUCAACUGCGGUAACCAGUGAGACCGUGAGCAUAAGAGAGAUUACAAGGAAGAAUUCGUGAGAAGUCAGCUUUAUUUGAUUUUUAUUUAAUUACAAGAUUAUUUGUGUGCAUGUGUGCUACGGCUUGUAUUUUGGGAGCUUUAUAUAGAGAAAAAAUAUGUAUUUAUAAAAAUGGAAACAAUGAAAAAUAAUCGAGGUUUUGGUCAGUCAAACUUUUCUUCGGUAUUGUUAAGUCUCAGAGGCCCAAAGACGUCGACUUUCUCGGGCUUAAGACACAACAAACCAAGAUUCAGGUGUAAGAUAUAAAGACCAAAGAUGAGGAGGACCAAAUACAGAGUAAGAACAGGGAUAUGAGGGAAGAACUGAGAUUUCUGCAGAGAAGAAAGAUAAGAACAUAAAGACAAGAGCACACACCAAGAUUUAACGAGUUCACGGUAUUAACCAACCGCUACGUCUUGCCGAGACAUGCUUCGGAAUCCACUAGAUAAAGAGAAUAGCCUUUUACAACAAGAUUAAACAAGAGAUCCGCCUAAUGUCCUUCACUAGCACUUACACACUCUUCGAAUAAAUCUUGUAAAGAGAAAACAACACUCAAGCUUAUGCUAACAUGUUUUCUCUCAGCUAUGAAACUCUCUUCACUCACUCAAGUCUUUUCUUACAUCU
rnacentral:lncRNA from 1 species